rnacentral:rRNA from 1 species
AUUGAACGCUGGCGGCAUGCUUUACACAUGCAAGUCGAACGGCAGCACGGGGCAACCUGGUGGCGAGUGGCGAACGGGUGAGUAAUACAUCGGAACGUGCCCAAUCGUGGGGGAUAACGUAGCGAAAGUUACGCUAAUACCGCAUACGAUCUACGGAUGAAAGCGGGGGAUCGCAAGACCUCGCGCGAAUGGAGCGGCCGAUGUCAGAUUAGCUAGUUGGUGGGGUAAAGGCCUACCAAGGCGACGAUCCGUAGCGGGUCUGAGAGGAUGAUCCGCCACACUGGGACUGAGACACGGCCCAGACUCCUACGGGAGGCAGCAGUGGGGAAUUUUGGACAAUGGGCGGAAGCCUGAUCCAGCCAUGCCGCGUGAGUGAAGAAGGCC